UCUUCUUCUUCCUGAAUCAGCAAUGGCUGAUAUUGGUCAAGAGAACUGCUCAUGGUUUGUUAUUAUGCUGGGAAUCUUGAGUGGAUUCUGAUAAAGGGGUCAUCACGUUCGACAACCUUAAGAGGAAUUCCACUUUGCUGGGGUACAACAUUUUGCGGUUGAGGAUCUUUGCUCCACGUUGAGAGGUGAUUUUGGCGUUGGUGGUGCUCUGAAUUAGCUGGAAUUCUUGAUUACGGAAGCUUUGUCUAUAGAGCUUGUGAAGGACGCCUCUUCUUUUCAUCUUUGCAACAUCUAUCUUUUCAUAUCCUUGCUUCUUUAAUUUAGUUUAAAUUUUAUAAAAAAAUCCAGGUGGAACUGAUUUGGAAGCUAUUUUUGCCA